CGCGGAUCAGUCAGCCCGGAUCUCCGGUUGCACAGUUGGCUAGUGUAUGAGACUCAAUUACCGGACCUCGGUGCUGGAAAUCCUUCCUCUAGGUUUCGGUGCACCCCCAUUUUGCUGGGUUCGUGGAAGUUGCAAAGCUGGCCUGGAAAAGUGAAGUUUUCUGGACUUAGCCUCCUUUGUCACUAAGUUUGUAGACAUGUGCUGUAGUGCCUGGCCUUCAUAUGUAUCUUUGUAUGUAUUUUGAACAGAAAGUUCUUUCCUUGCUGUUGCUGCUGCUUUGUCUUUUCCUUCUUUUCUUGUGUGUGUGUGUGUGUGUGUGUGUGUGUGUGUGGGAGGGGGUUCAUCAUUUCAAUGUCUUUUUCCCACACUGAGAUAAUAAAUGCAUUCAGAUUUGUUGUCUUUGAGGAGAGUAAAAUGUGUACAUUUAAAUUUCUGACUAUAUCUGUCAUCAUUCAGCCAGGAUAUUCAGAAAUAUACAUAGAUAUUGGUCUUAGCAUCUAGGUUAAGGCUACUGUCACAUGGUAUACAGCAGUAAUGGCUACCUCAUCAUAUACAGAUGAGCAUCAUCCUCCAAUAUUAGCCCAAUGACUUGUAGCAUAUGCCAAAGCUGAAGUUUUCACUCAGUGCUAUAAGGGAGCAGAGUACCUCAGCAGAGGAAGUGGCACCAAAGAGAUGGAAAGGCUUAAAGGAUAUUCAUUUGGAUUUUGAAGUCUAGCAUAGGAGGGGAUCUUUUAAGGGUUUGGGAUUGGGAAGGAAUUGUGAUGUAAUGAUUCAAGGUUGUUGGACACAGGGAAGCUCAGAGUUUUUAAUUUAUUUGUAAUUGACCCUUAUUAUUUGUGUGUUUAUGGGAUAUAACAUGAUAUUUCAGUAUGUAUGUAUAUCAUGUGUAAUAAUCAAAUCAGGGUAAAUAGCAUUUCCUUCACCGCAAUGAUUUAUCCAUUCUUUGUAUGGGAAAGUUUCAAAAUCUAUCUGCUAAUAAUUCUGAAAUACACAGCCAAUUGUUAACUAUACUCACCCUAGUCUGUUAUAGUACUCUGGAAUGUAUCCCUUCUAUCUAACUGUAUUUUGGUGGCCAAUAUCCACCUUCUGUCUGUCACCUUCCCUUCUUCUCCUCUCAGCCUCUGCUGACCUCUGUUCUCCUCUCCACUUCUAUGAGGUCAACUUUCUAAGCAUCCACAUGUUGAAGAGGACAUGUAGCACAAGUGUUUCUGUAAUGAAGAUGCAGCUUUUGAAACACAAGUUUGAAAGAAUGUUGGGGUGAAAAAAUGUCACUUGACACUUUUGUUUGUGGAGUGAUGGGCCUUUCCUGCAGCUGGUGAAAUGAACAAUGAAGUUUUGGGGAACUUUACUUUCCUGGGUAAGAGAUUCCUGCAUUAGUAUAGUUAUGUUAAUGUAACCAGUGGCAUAUAAACUCUGGUUUAUGUGAACAGUGGGCUGUGUGGAUACUUUCAGUUCUCAUUACUUCCUUUUAUAUACCUCUCAGUUUAGUGUGGGAAAUGAGUCACUGCUCCCACUGUCAGGGUACAGUAUAUCUGCCUCCAAUAAACUAUUGUCUUAUGUCCCACCUCACCUCUAUCAGCAGAAUUGACAUGAGGUUUAAGAGCUCCCUCUCAUCGUGCUUCAUUGCAUGAUCAAAGAAGCUAACUUUCCCAAAGUGUAAACAGCAAGAUCCAUUUUUUUUUUUUUCAAAAUGAUUGCCUGACCAUCCCGAGGAGCAUGCACUUAGAUCCAAGAUUGCUCUAGAAUAUCCCAAUAGGGAAAGCCCCUGUUUGAGGCACCAUACAUGUUAUUUGCAUCUCAUACAUCUAAUGUAAACCAGGAACAAGCUUUCUGGGACAUGCAGAAUAAACAUUAUAGGCAAGACACAGGAAUCUGUCAAUCACUCUUUGUUUAACAGAAAAGAAAAAAGCCCACCAAAGGCAAAUAACUUAGAAGCACAUAUAAGCUAAGUUCCCCUUCUUUUUUUCUAUUUUUUUAUUAUUAGUUGUUCAAAACAUUACAAAGCUCUUGACAUAUUUCAUACAUUUGAUUCAAGUGGGUUAUGAACUCCCAUUUUUAUCCCAUAUACAGAUUGCAGAAUCACAUCGGUUACACAUCCACGUUACAACAGACACUAGUAUGGCAGUAUGUAAGUUCCCCUUCUGAGUGGAUGGGCAAGAUUCCUUUGUCACUGCUCCCACUGUCAGGGUACAGCAUAUCUCCCUCCAAUAAACUCUUAACUACUUUCUGUUAUCUUGAUGAAUUCUUCUCAUGCUUUCCAUCUCAUCCCUUUCCUGCACUGGGCAUCUUCUGAACGUCCCAUGACAGAAAAUAGUUCAUGAAAGGUAAAGAGAAGAAGGGGACCCUGAUUAGCAGAAAGCUUUCUGUUAGUAAGUUAGGAUACAGUGUUGCAGUGGCUUCUAUACCUUCCAUGUGACUGGGCUUCUCUUAAGAAAUAUACUGAGCAGAAAGAAGAAAUUUCUCAGUCUUUGUCUUUCCUUAAUCAGUACCAUGAAUAGGCAUAUGGUUCUGUAAAAUUUUAAAAAUUAUACACACACACACACACACACAUAUACCCCACACACAAUGAGAGCAGUCAUUAUCUCAUUAUCUCAUGACAAUAUUUAGCUUAUCUUUUAUCUUGUUUGGUCAUUCUCAGCAAGGUAUUAUCAUUACCAAUGUUUAUUCCUUUUUUUUCCAUUCUUCAUUCUAGUUUUUAAUGUAGUACACUGCAAAGCACUCAACCAAUGGGAGAUGCUAAGUCCCAGAUUUAGACUUUCAACAAGCAGCUACUUAGCAAAUAGUCAAAUAUUUGCUAUCAGAUAGCUGGAGGUUGUGCGUCCUGAGGAUUUGUGUUUGAUGAGCUGUGAAUGGCUUUAUGGCAGCUUAUAAGGGCAGGCUUCAACUGAUGCCCAUCUCUAGCUUCCUGUCUCCAUUAUUGUGAGAGAUUAUCCCUGAACAACCAGAAGUGUUCGAAGGACUGUAAUUAGAUUUGGAUGUGAAAAGUUGUGAAACAGUUCUGGUGAAACAUUGGAAACAGCAAAAUGUAUGGAAUACCUUGUAGAGACAAGAAUUUCCUGAUGCAUGAUCCUAAGGACUCUCUCAAGGAUGUUAAGUCAGGAUUGUGGGCAGGAAUCCAUGGCAGCACCUCUACCGGAGGUAUGCCUCAAUUCCUCACAUGACCAAUAUUCCCCAUCUUCUAGGCAAGGAUUCUAUACACAAAUUUAGCUUAACAUAGGACCCAGGGAUGCAGGAAGGUCAGAAAAUGUCUACAGAUUCUGGGUCACUGUCAAAAGAGUGCUGUAAUCCACACCACCUAAUCUCAUACUGGUGUCUGAUAUUUAUUCAUCUAUUCCCUACCAUGUUAAAUACAAUUCUCAUGAAUUAGGAGCACACUAAGAUGACGGAGGUACCCUCAGUACAGCAGAGUAAUGCAUGACAUUAACGUACACUUCAGCCCAAGCACAGCCUCCAUAUGAUGCUGAGAACACAAGAAACCACCUGUCAGCCCUUUUGCCUGUCAGUUCCUGUCUCUCCAUGUGAUGCUUACCAUGUUCAAGACAGACACUACUAUCUGCAGAUAAAUCUUACAGGAAGUAUUGGGGAUUAUGUUUUGUGGCAACCCUGCAGGACCCAUAUCAAGGAUAGCCUUUUAGUGUGAAAACACUUGAGUGCAAAGGAGGACUACAAAAUUGGGUUUUCAUGUGUAUGUAAGAAUAAUUUUAUAGCCCAAUAUAUUCACCAUUGAGGGUGUCCAUGAUCCAUUAUACUGUUUUCCAAUGUGUAGAUUCUAAUCAAUUUUGUAAAUCUUAAAACAGAAUAUAUUAUGAAGUAGAAUAUAUAUGGAAAUCUUUUACAUUCUUCUUAUGUUGACCAAUAUAAAUAAAAAUAUAUGCAUCAUAAAAGAACAUUUAUCUGUAAAGUUACAAGUGAAUAUUUACCCAAAUGAAACACAUCAUUUAUAUUUAAAGAGUUUUUUCAUGUAGCUUCUGAAGAAAUUUCAAAAUGCAGAGUCUUAGAAAAUAAAAACAUCUCAUCAAGGGGUAAUGUAUAAAAUAGCCAAUUUCACUAUACCAUUUGACUGAUAUCCAGGGAAUAUCAAAAGUUUCCUAAAAAGAUCAAAUGUUUGUUCAUUUGAUAGAGAAAAUUUUAUCUCAAUGUCUCAAUGCUUGCUUUUUCAUUUUUAAAUUAGUGGAAUUUCUAAUAAUGUUCCUAUAGUUUUGUGAUUUGAACUUUAGUGAUGGGAGCUGAUUUUCAUCUUAAUUUUGUUUAUUUAUCCUUUUAUUUUCAUGAUGAUUUAAAGUGUUUCUCUUCAAAAUUUCAUUGAGAGUAUGUGUAUAAAAAAUUACCCAUUAGUUUUAUUGUAUGAGGAAUAUUUUCCCCAAGUAUAUAUUUUCCAAGGAUUUUGAUGAGUUUUAAAUUUUUUCUCUCUUUUAAAAAAUUUAACUGUUUAAUAGCAAUUGCAUAUAUUGAUGGGGUACAAUGUGCCAUUUUGUUAUAUGUAUGUGAUUAAAGAAAUAAGGAGAUCAUAAAAGAAAUGGUAGACAAAUAA